rnacentral:rRNA from 1 species
AACGAACGCUGGCGGCAUGCCUAACACAUGCAAGUCGAACGAGACCUUCGGGUCUAGUGGCGCACGGGUGCGUAACGCGUGGGAACCUGCCUUGAGGUUCGGAAUAACUCUCCGAAAGGGGUGCUAAUACCGGAUGAUGUCUUCGGACCAAAGAUUUAUCGCCUUAAGAUGGGCCCGCGUAGGAUUAGCUAGUUGGUGGGGUAAAGGCCUACCAAGGCGACGAUCCUUAGCUGGUCUUAGAGGAUGAUCAGCCACACUGGGACUGAGACACGGCCCAGACUCCUACGGGAGGCAGCAGUGGGGAAUAUUGGACAAUGGGCGAAAGCCUGAUCCAGCAAUGCCGCGUGAGUGAUGAAGGCCUUAGGGUUGUAAAGCUCUUUUACCCGGGAUGAUAAUGACAGUACCGGGAGAAUAAGCUCCGGCUAACUCCGUGCCAGCAGCCGCGGUAAUACGGAGGGAGCUAGCGUUGUUCGGAAAUACUGGGCGUAAAGCGCACGUAGGCGGCGCCGCAAGUCAGGGGUGAAAUCCCGGGGCUCAACCCCGGAACUGCCCUUGAAACUGCAGUGCUAGAAUCUUGGAGAGGCGAGUGGAAUUCCGAGUGUAGAGGUGAAAUUCGUAGAUAUUCGGAAGAACACCAGUGGCGAAGGCGACUCGCUGGACAAGUAUUGACGCUGAGGUGCGAAAGCGUGGGAGCAAACAGG